CCGCUCUUUCUGCGCACGCGCGAGGAGCAGUAGUUGCGAGGGAGAAAUAUGGGGACUUUUGGUGCUCAAAAUUUCUCUUCGCCUAGGUACUACGGGGAAGAAAGCUGUUAGCUCUGUUUGUCCCUAGCCGAGCUUGCAGCACAGAAUCGACAGGAUGCGUGGGCGGCAAGACGAAAAAGCCGCGUCCGAGACCCAUCAACUAGCCCAAAUUAAUUUACAUAUCUCAUAAAAGCAAGUGCACUGCAGUUGGAGCUUUGGAAAUAGGCCUGUGUUUAAAACAGAUUCGAGUGGUCGACACAUGAAGUGGGCUCAUUCAUGUUGUGGACGCUUCCAGACACAAGACUGAUUUAUGCAGCAGGCGCUCCUUGGCUGCAUCUGCAAUGCUAGCUCAAGGCGAGAAUGCUUUGGGCACGUUGCCAUCUGCGUCCACAGUCAUCCUGGCACAACUGCCAUGGUGGAAAAGGAAAGUAUCAGCAACGUUCUCACACCUACACUGUCCUUAUUGGUAUGUAGUGUGACUAAAUUCUGCUUCUGCAUUAGUUGUGUUGAUAGCAUGCUUGUUCCAAAUUCUUAUUUGUUCCUUUUGCAAAUUUUCAUUUUGUUCACAAAACUUUCCAAAAGGGGAACGUAUGCAAUAAAAUAAAGCACUAAUUUACUUUCAUGCAGAAGAUUCAUAACUCUUACAAAUUGAUGUGGUUUCUACCUGGUGAUCUUCACUGCACUAAAGAGUUAUGAGCUAGGUACUAGGGUAUCCCAGCAACAUCAUGAGCAAGCAACACCAUCUUCUCUCAUCUCUUAGAGAGAAAAAAAAAAUUCGUUAUAACUUUACUUCACUCUGCAAAAUGCUUGAAGCAUAAAAAUGUCACUCGUUUCUUUAUUUUUACAUAUUAUAGUACACAAGCGCAUAUUAAACAAUGAACAGUAUCCCUCAUUGUCUUCUCCCAUCCAGUCAUCCCUGGCCCAAGACUAUGUGACUGCCAGGUCAGCAAGCCAAAUUAAAGAAAGUGUACCACACAUGAAAUAGGACGCUGAAAAACUUAUAAAUUGUGUUGUAGUUUAACCUAAACCUCCCCUCCUCCUCCUACAUGACAAAAACUUGUUUGCAUGUCAAGGUAGCAUCAGAAAAUACUAAAUUUCUUUUCUGAUUGAAAUUAAACCUGGAAAGUAUUCUAUCAAGUGCAGAGGGCCGAAGAGCAUUAGCAAAUAGCAUAGCUUUCAAGAUUUUUCAUACAGUGCCUAUAGGUUGCCUUGAUGCUGCCUCCAAUCUCCCUUGUACUGAAGCAUGCACACACAUUAUACCUCCAUUGAUACCGAAGUCCCACUCAAAAGUCUCUGGCCACCGCAAAUCAUCCUGCAUGUACCGGUGACAAGGUGUACAUCUUUGGAGAAGUCAUUUCUGAUUCAAACAUCUGAUGGGCCAGAAAACUAUAAAUUUUGUUAUGUCACCAAUAACCAAAACACGAAUUAAUAUUCCUGCUUGCAGGGACACAAACUGACUGCUGUUACUGAACAGCGCUCCGUGGCAUUCAAGUGAAGAAUGAUCUUGAUCGUCACUUAU